rnacentral:rRNA from 1 species
AAUCAACGCUGGCGGCGUGCCUCAGACAUGCAAGUCGAACGAUUAAAGCUCUCUUCGGAGAGUGUAUAGAGUGGCGCACGGGUGAGUAACACGUAAGUAAUCUACCUUCGAGUGGGGAAUAACGUUCGGAAACGGACGCUAAUACCGCAUAAUGCAGCGGCAUCGCAAGAUGACAGUUGUUAAAGAUUUAUCGCUUGAAGAGGAGCUUGCGGCAGAUUAGCUAGUUGGUAAGGUAAUGGCUUACCAAGGCUACGAUCUGUAUCCGGUCUAAGAGGACGGUCGGACACACUGACACUGAAUAACGGGUCAGACUCCUACGGGAGGCAGCAGUCGGGAAUUUUGGGCAAUGGGCGAAAGCCUGACCCAGCAACGCCGCGUGAAGGAUGAAGUAUUUCGGUAUGUAAACUUCGAAAGAAUGGGAAGAAUCAAUGACGGUACCAUUUAUAAGCUCCGGCUAACUACGUGCCA